UACAGAGGGCUCAAGCGUUGUUCGGAUUCAUUGGGCGUAAAGGGUGCGUAGGCGGCGCGGUAAGUCGGGUGUGAAAUCUUGGAGCUUAACUCCGAAACUGCAUUCGAUACUGCCGUGCUUGAGGACUGGAGAGGAGACUGGAAUUUACGGUGUAGCGGUGAAAUGCGUAGAUAUCGUAAGGAAGACCAGUGGCGAAGGCGGGUCUCUGGACAGUGCCUGACGCUGAGGCACGAAGGCCAGGGGAGCAAACGGG
rnacentral:rRNA from 1 species